GAGCGGGCCCUUCGGGGUCAGCGGCGGACGGGGUGAGUAACGCGUGGGAACGUGCCCUCUGGUUAGGGAAUAACUCAGGGAAACUUGAGCUAAUACCGGAUACGCCCUUUUGGGGAAAGGCUUGCUGCCGGAGGAUCGGCCCGCGUCUGAUUAGAUAGUUGGUGAGGUAACGGCUCACGAAGGCGACGAUCAGUAGCUGGUCUGAGAGGAUGAUCAGCCACACUGGGACUGAGACACGGCCCAGACUCCUACGGGAGGCAGCAGUGGGGAAUAUUGGACAAUGGGCGCAAGCCUGAUCCAGCCAUGCCGCGUGAGUGAUGAAGGCCUUAAGGGUUGUAAAGCUCUUUUAUCCGGGACGAUAAUGACGGUACCGGAGGAAUAAGACCCCGGCUAACUUCGUG
rnacentral:rRNA from 1 species